UAAUCAUUGUCAGGCAGUGAGGAUCAAACAAUAGAUAGCAUACAGAGAACUCUGAGGGCCUAUUCUCAGUCAGGGUCUGUUAGCUAAAGGGCUACAAAACUUUGGGAAACAAACUCAUUUCCUGUUCGGACCCUUAUGAUUUAAUUGAGAGCACUCUUAGCAAAGCAGGAUUCACAGGACGUUACAAAU